ACCCCGUGCCGCAAGGCCGACAGCAUUCGAUCUGGAAGCCUGAUGAACUCUCGGCCACGAAAAGCCCCGCGGGGACGAACCAUCCGGCCCGUACCGCAAUCCGACACAGGUGUGCUAGGCGAGUAUCCGAAGGCGUUCGGGAGAACCUUCGUGAAGGAACUCGGCAAAAUGACCCCGUACCUUCGGUACAAGGGGUGCUCUCCGCAAGGAGAGCCGCAGAGAAUCGGCUCUAGCGACUGUUUAUCAAAAACACAGGACUCUGCCAACUCGCAAGAGGACGUAUAGAGUCUGACGCCUGCUCGGUGUCGGUAGGUUAAGGGAGCCGAUGAGGCGCGAGCCGAAGUUGGCGACCGAAGCCCCGAUAAACGGCGGCCGUAACUAUGACGGUCCUAAGGUAGCGAAGUUCCUUGUCGGGUAAGUUCCGACCUGCAUGAAUGGCGUAACGACUGGAGCACUGUCUCCACGAGGGACCCGGUGAAACUGUAGCCGUGGUGAAGAUGCCACGUACCCGCGGUCAGACGGAAAGACCCCGUGAACCUUUACUGCAGGUUGGCAUUGGGUCAGCGUCCUUUCUGUGUAGCAUAGGUGGGAGGCCGUGAUCCGGCGGCGCCAGCCGUCGGGGAGCCAUCGGUGAAAUACCACCCUGAAAUGACUCUGAUCCUCACCGGUCCGUAGCCCGGACCGGGACCAUGCUCAUCGGGCAGUUUGACUGGGGCGGUCUCCUCCCAAAGCGUAACGGAGGAGUGCAAUGGUACCCUCGGCCAGGUCGGCAAUCUGGCAACAUGAGCGCAAACGUAGAAGGGUGCCUGACUGCGAGACCCAUCAGUCGAGCAGGGACGAAAGUCGGCGUUAGUGAUCCGGCGGUGCUGGAUGGAAAGGCCGUCGCUCAACAGAUAAAAGGUACUCCGGGGAUAACAGGCUGAUCUCCCCCGAGCGUCCAUAGCGGCGGGGAGGUUUGGCACCUCGAUGUCGGCUCAUCGCAUCCUGGGGCUGGAGAAGGUCCCAAGGGUUUGGCUGUUCGCCAAUGAAAGCGGUACGCGAGCUGGGUUCAGACCGUCGUGAGACAGGUCGGUCCCUAUCUGCCGUGGGCGGAGGAAACUUGCGAAGGGUCUCCCCUAGUACGAGAGGAUUGGGGAGGACCGACCUCUGGUGUACCGGCUGUCCCGCUCGGGGCACCGCCGGGUAGCUAGGUCGGGAAAGGAUAAGCGCUGAAGGCAUCUAAGCGCGAAGCCCUCUUCAAGACGAGGUUUCCAGCACGCAAGUGCGAAGGCUCCUGGAAGACGACCAGGUCGAUAGGCCGGGAGUGCACGGCGAGUGAUCGCCGCAGCCGACCGGUCCUAACAGCCGAUCGCUUGACCAC
rnacentral:rRNA from 1 species